AGCGAACGCUGGCGGCAGGCCUAACACAUGCAAGUCGAGCGCCCGUAGCAAUACGGGAGCGGCAGACGGGUGAGUAACACGUGGGAACGUACCCUUCGGUUCGGAAUAACCCAGGGAAACUUGGAUUAAUACCGAAUACGUCCGUAAGGAGAAAGAUUUAUCGCCGAAGGAUCGGCCCGCGUCCGAUUAGCUUGUUGGUGGGUAAUGGCCCACCAAGGCUACGAUCGGUAGCUGGUCUGAGAGGAUGAUCAGCCACACUGGGACUGAGACACGGCCCAGACUCCUACGGGAGGCAGCAGGUGGGGAAUAUUGGACAAUGGGCGCAAGCCUGAUCCAGCCAUGCCGCGUGGGUGAU
rnacentral:rRNA from 1 species